rnacentral:rRNA from 1 species
UACGUAGGUGGCAAGCGUUGUCCGGAUUUACUGGGCGUAAAGAGCGCGCAGGCGGUUAUUCAAGUCGAAUGUGAAAGCCCCCGGCUUAACUGGGGAGGGUCAUUCGAUACUGUUUAACUUGAAGGCAGGAGAGGGUAGUGGAAUUCCCGGUGUAGUGGUGAAAUGCGUAGAUAUCGGGAGGAACACCAGUGGCGAAGGCGACUACCUGGCCUGUUCUUGACGCUGAGGCGCGAAAGCUAGGGGAGCAAACGGGG